UAGGGAAUCUUCGGCAAUGGGGGCAACCCUGACCGAGCAACGCCGCGUGAGUGAAGAAGGUUUUCGGAUCCUAAAGCUCUGUUGUAAGAGAAGAACGUGUGUGAGAGUGGAAAGUUCACACAGUGACGGUAACUUACCAGAAAGGGACGGCUAACUACGUGCCAA
rnacentral:rRNA from 1 species